AGAGCGCGUGUGGCCGCCGAGCACAUGGACCCACUGGUCAAGCGGGCUCGGCAAGGCCAGGAUGAAGAGAAGCUACGAACUUAGCAUUCCCAGAGCCCCCCGAGUGGAUAUCCGCGUGGAAAGGAUGUUGGCAGCCCCGGUGACCUCGGAGUCACGGCUGGAUCCACCCUCUUGUCUGAUUUUCUUAACUCUACUACGGUAAGAAGAUGCCCUCCAUCAGCAGGCCGUGUCUGCUGGGACCUCUCUGGAGACUUCCUGAACCCUGUGGAUUUACAGUAAGAUGCAGUUUCCUGGGGAGUAAUUCUGGUGGAUACAAAUUCCGGAGUAUUACACCUGGCUUGCCUGGAGAUGUUACAAGUAGCUGGAUGGAUUCUUCAGCCUGGAUGCCCACUGAAAACAAGGACCGAAACUAAGAGGAUUGUAUCUCUACCCUUGACUCAAUGAGAAUGUUUGUUGUCAUCUCUCGGGCUACCUGGAGCUCCCUCUAAAAUAGAGCCGAGUUCUGUCACCACAGACAUUGGCAGUGGCACUUGCAUGCCCCUGGCAAGCAGUCUAUCCUGAGGUGGAGGAAGUUGCCCUUGAGUUCUGGCUGGUAACCAGCACAGGGGCUGGGACACUGCCUGAUUGAGGUGGCCAUUGAGAAUUCAAGUGUACCUCUUGGUCCCUGAUGCAGAAAUGAAGUCCCCAGCAUGCUCAAGAAGAGCUUCCUUGGAGGAUGAGAGGCAUGGGAAUCUAAGUAUACCCUUUAAGCGUUCCAGAAGGAUUUUGAGAUCCUUUCCUAAAUCAAAGGUGGAAUAUUUGGGGAUUUGGAAAAUUGAGGCUUCAGAGAAAUCAGGAGCGGUGAAUGAUCGAAAUGGACCUUUGAGAUUACAGUGUGGAGCUGACAUUGCCAGUUAAGCCUGGGCAGAUCUGACUUAAUUGAUUUAGUUGUUGGAGCAGAGACAACCCAGAGGCUUGGAUCAGCCUCCCCAUCUGACAGUGUGCUGAUGUGAAGCGUUGACUUAAGAGAUGCCAAGUAACUCAGCAGAUGUCACACAGACGAUAAAUAGCAAAGAUGGAAGUCUUCAUGCCGGAGGCAAUCCUAUAAGACAGCUGAGUUCUGCAGAGCUGGUAGGAGACAGACUUGCUCAGGUGAUAGAUCCAGCCAUGAUACUGACCCUAAGAGAAUGAGACGCUCUGCAGAAGACAGAAGAUUCCUGAAACUGGGAAAGGUGCCUAGAAAUCCUGAUAAGAGUGAAGAAGGAGCUGGCAGAGCAGCCUUCCUCCGCACUAUGAAAGACAUCCAACAGAGAGCAAGUUCCCACCUCACUUCCAGCUUGACUCCUUUUUAUCUCCUAACUGUGGUCUGUGAUGUCUUCAGCAAUGGGUACCUGGAGGCACAGCAGCCAUGUUGAACCUAUGAGGUGAUGAAAAACCAUGCAACUAGAAACCAGAAUGGAAGAAAAGAAGAAGCUGGAUCCUUGACUGAAUUGUCGAUGGGGGAUAGUCCAUCAUCCCAGGGCUAAGACCACCUCCAGAUUUCUUGUUUGGUGAAACAAGUCCUGAUUGUUUACAUUCCCUCGUGUUGAGCUGUCUCUUGCUUGUAGCUGAAAGCAUUUCUAAUAGAUAUUCAGAUUAUCAGCCUUAGCUCCAAGCUAGAAUACUCUAUGGGACCUUAGCUUCUCCAUGAAUUCCUUUGCUCAUCUGUGUAAUGCUCAAUAAAUGUAAAUUGAACCCUGAAUGAGGGACAAUGACA
rnacentral:lncRNA from 1 species